rnacentral:sRNA from 1 species
UGCUAUGUAGGCCCCUUACAUUGCUGAA